rnacentral:rRNA from 1 species
ACGGGUGAGUAACACGUGAGUAACCUGCCCUUGACUCUGGGAUAAGCCUGGGAAACUGGGUCUAAUACCGGAUAUGACCUUCCAUCGCAUGGUGGUUGGUGGAAAGCUUUUGUGGUUUUGGAUGGACUCGCGGCCUAUCAGCUUGUUGGUGGGGUAAUGGCCUACCAAGGCGACGACGGGUAGCCGGCCUGAGAGGGUGACCGGCCACACUGGGACUGAGACACGGCCCAGACUCCUACGGGAGGCAGCAGUGGGGAAUAUUGCACAAUGGGCGGAAGCCUGAUGCAGCGACGCCGCGUGAGGGAUGACGGCCUUCGGGUUGUAAACCUCUUUCAGUAGGGAAGAAGCGAAAGUGACGGUACCUGCAGAAGAAGCGCCGGCUAACUACGUGCCAGCAGCCGCGGUAAUACGUAGGGCGCAAGCGUUAUCCGGAAUUAUUGGGCGUAAAGAGCUCGUAGGCGGUUUGUCGCGUCUGCCGUGAAAGUCCGGGGCUCAACUCCGGAUCUGCGUGGGUACGGGCAGACUAGAGUGAUGUAAGGGGAGACUGGAAUUCCUGG